rnacentral:rRNA from 1 species
CGCCGCGUGAGGGACGAAGGCCUUCGGGUUGUAAACCUCUUUUAGUAGGGAAGAAGCGAAAGUGACGGUACCUGCAGAAAAAGCACCGGCUAACUACGUGCCAGCAGCCGCGGUAAUACGUAGGGUGCAAGCGUUGUCCGGAAUUAUUGGGCGUAAAGAGCUCGUAGGCGGUUUGUCGCGUCUGCUGUGAAAACUGGAGGCUCAACCUCCAGCCUGCAGUGGGUACGGGCAGACUAGAGUGCGGUAGGGGAGAUUGGAAUUCCUGGUGUAGCGGUGGAAUGCGCAGAUAUCAGGAGGAACACCGAUGGCGAAGGCAGAUCUCUGGGCCGUAACUGACGCUGAGGAGCGAAAGCAUGGGGAGCGAACAGGAUUAGAUACCCUGGUAGUCCAUGCCGUAAACGUUGGGAACUAGAUGUAGGGGCCAUUCCACGGUUUCUGUGUCGCAGCUAACGCAUUAAGUUCCCCGCCUGGGGAGUACGGCCGCAAGGCUAAAACUCAAAGGAAUUGACGGGGGCCCGCACAAGCGGCGGAGCAUGCGGAUUAAUUCGAUGCAACGCGAAGAACCUUACCAAGGCUUGACAUAUACCGGAAACGGCUAGAGAUAGUCGCCCCGCAAGGUCG